AUGGAAGCAUUCGAAGUGAAAAAAAUCUUCACAUACCUUCCUGUAAGUGCAUCUCCCCGUCUUAAUUUGGGUUGCUCUCGCUGUCCCGCUUACCUGUUCUGCUUCGCCCAUCAUUCAGAGUUAGGUUGGUUCAUGAGAUCAGAUAAUGUACUGUCGUUUAUUUUACCCAACUGCUACAUUCAAGAUCGAGGAGUACAAGUGUGUAUUGAUCUGAACACAAAGUUUUACAAUAUUCAUGUUGAGCUUAUCUCAGAUUAUGGAAGUAUCUACAUUCAAGAUCGAGGAGUACAAGAUAUGUCAGCCUGCACUUUUGGACCAAAACAGUUUUACAUGGGCUUCUCUGGAGGAAAAGGAAACCCCACCUAA
rnacentral:rRNA from 1 species